rnacentral:rRNA from 1 species
UGUACACGCUGUGACUAGCAUAUCAAUAAGCGGAGGAAAAGAAACUAACAAGGAUUCCCUCAGUAACGGCGAGUGAAGCGGGAAGAGCUCAAAUUUGAAAUCUUAAAGGGUCACCUUUCACGAAUUGUAGUUUAAAGAAGUGUUUUCUGUUGACGAGUCUGGUAUAUAAGUUCUUUGGAAUAGGACAUCACUAGAGGGUGAGAAUCCCGUCUAUGAUUGCAUAUUUUUAGCUUUGUGAUACACUUUCAAAGAGUCGGAUUGUUUGGGAAUGCAGUCCAAAAUGGGUGGUAAAUUUCAUCUAAAGCUAAAUAUUGGCGAGAGACCGAUAGCGAACAAGUACCGUGAGGGAAAGAUGAAAAGAACUUUGAAAAGAGAGUUAAAUAGUACGUGAAAUUGUCAAAAGGGAAGCGUUUGACACCAGUGUUGUUUUCUGAAAAUCAACCUCUGUUAGCUUUAUGCAUGUUUGUUUAGACCUAAUCAGCUAUCUUGCAUGUUCUAUUGUUUGCAGUGGUGCACUUUUCAGUUUACAGGUCAACAUCAGUUUUUUUUACCGUAAAAAAGUUAAAGAAAGGUAGCUCAUGGCUCCGGUCGUGAGUGUUAUAGUCUUUUUCCUAUGCGGUAGGAGAGACUGAGGUCUGCAGUGUAGGCUAUUUGGCUAGAUACUCAGGUGCUAUGUGAUACCAUUUCAUAAACAACUUGUUGAUUAUGUUUUGUCUAUUGUAUACUCGCUUGUACUAUCAUACCUACGCUUAGGAUGUUGACGCAUGAGAUAUACGC